GUGUGCUCUUCCGAUGGUUUGGGGGAAGGGUCUCCAGGGUGGUCCAGGGCAGAAGAAGGGUCUUUGAGUCAAGUUCGAACAGUAGUUCCAGUUCGGGUGGGUUUCUGCCC